ACUGAAUAGAUACCCAGGUAGUCCCAGCCGUAAACGAUGCUCGCUAGGUGUCAGGCAUGGCGCGACCGUGUCUGGUGCCGCAGGGAAGCCGUGAGGCGAGCCACCUGGGAAGUACGGCCGCAAGGCUGAAACUUAAAGGAAUUGGCGGGGGAGCACAACAACGGGUGGAGCCUGCGGUUUAAUUGGACUCAACGCCGGACAACUCACCGGGGGCGACAGCAAUAUGUAGGCCAGGCUGAAGACCUUGCCUGAAUCGCUGAGAGGAGGUGCAUGGCCGUCGCCAGUUCGUACUGUGAAGCAUCCUGUUAAGUCAGGCAACGAGCGAGACCCGUGCCCACUGUUACCAGCAUGUCCUCAGGGACGAUGGGUACUCUGUGGGGACCGCCGGUGUUAAAUCGGAGGAAGGUGCGGGCCACGGUAGGUCAGUAUGCCCCGAAUCUCCCGGGCUACACGCGGGCUACAAUGGAUGGGACAAUGGGUCCCUACCCCGAAACGGGGAUGGUAAUCUCAUAAACCCAAUUCGUAGUUCGGAUCGAGGGCUGUAAC
rnacentral:rRNA from 1 species